GACGUAGGCAGCGAGCGUUGUUCGGAAUUACUGGGCGUAAAGAGUGUGUAGGCGGUGCUCUAAGUUCGGUGUGAAAUCUCCCGGCUUAACUGGGAGGGUGCGCCGGAAACUGGAGUGCUCGAGCGUGGGAGAGGAAAGCGGAAUUCCUGGUGUAGCGGUGAAAUGCGUAGAUAUCAGGAGGAACACCUGCGGUGUAGACGGCUUUCUGGACCAUUGCUGACGCUGAGACACGAAAGCGUGGGUAGCAAACAGG
rnacentral:rRNA from 1 species